UUCGUUACCGAUACUGACAGGGGAUCUGCUGCGGCCUCACAAUAAGAGCUGUGCCCACGUUCAGCUGUGUUCGCACGGUAUUCCUCGCAGAAAACGACAGCAACAGAGUUCAUGCAACUUAAAUAACUUUUUCCAAUGGACUGACUGCAGAAGGAAUGGCUGAGUUGUGUCUCUCUUGAUGAGCCUUUCUCUUUGAUCUAAACCCAAGGAAAUGGGUGUGGAAGAAAUGGAAUCUCAAAAGCUUUAAGGCUGCCACAGUAAAUCAGACAGUAAAGAUGCUACUGCUAACACACAAGCUGCUGCAUCUGCCAGUUCUGCAACAGCCACUCUCAUCCAGUUUUCCUGUGCUGUGCUGUAAUAUCACAGCAGACAUAAACAAGCUGCCAACCCUGUUUGCCACCUUGAACAGAGACAACAACCUAACUGGGACAGUGUGGUGUCCUUUGUAGCAACAGAAGUCACUGUGAGUGUGGGCAGAAACAGCUCCAGCUCCUCUGCUGCCCUGGUGUAAUGAGUCAGGUAAUUUAAAGCCACUGUGGGUGUGUGUUUGAUGUUUUAGCAGCGUGUACCAGGCUCAAACUUGUUUUUCUUACUUAUCAAAUAGGGCAUUGAAAAUGGCUUGCUUAAAGUUAUAUGAGAAAUCUGUAGCAGAGCCAGGUUUCAAAGGCCAGUAGAUGAGCCCUGAAAACUCAGCAGUGAGUAGCUGAUGACUAGAUUCUUGACCAUCCAAACUGGUGCUGUCCAAGGUAAUAGUGAGUUGUGUUUAUGCUUAGACAGCCAGUUGUAAUUGUAAAGAGACUUGGUCCUGAAUUCUAAUUAGAAUUAUACAAUGUAACAUUAUAAAAAACAUUUCUAGUGGUAUUAAAGAUAUUACUGGACUAGUUGGAAGAAUAGGGAAGUCAUUCUUCUGCUCUGCUCAGGACUGGUGACACCACACCUGGAGUGUUCAGUUUUGGGCUCCUUAGUUACAGGAGAGAUGUGGACAUACUGGAGAGAGUCCAGUGAAGGGUCACAAGGGUGAUUAAGGGACUGAUGCAUCUCCCCCAUGAGUGAAGUCGGGGAGCACUGGGACUGUUUAGCCUGGAGAAGAGAAGGC